rnacentral:rRNA from 1 species
UCAUGAGAGCUGUCUGUACCCGAAGUCAUCUUAGCCAACCUGAAAAAGGAGGCGGAUGCCUAAGGUAUGUAUGGUGAUUGGGAUG